CCUACGGGUGGCUGCAGUGGGGAAUAUUGGACAAUGGGGGCAACCCUGAUCCAGCCAUGCCGCGUGUGUGAAGAAGGCCCUCGGGUUGUAAAGCACUUUCAGUGAGGAAGAACGCCUGGUGGUUAAUACCCAUCAGGAAAGGCAUCACUCACAGAAGAAGCACCGGCUAACUCCGUGCCAGCAGCCGCGGUAAUACGGAGGGUGCGAGCGUUAAUCGGAAUUACUGGGCGUAAAGCGCGCGUAGGUGGCUUGAUAAGCCGGUUGUGAAAGCCCCGGGCUCAACCUGGGAACGGCAUCCGGAACUGUCAAGCUAGAGUGCAGGAGAGGAAGGUAGAAUUCCCGGUGUAGCGGUGAAAUGCGUAGAGAUCGGGAGGAAUACCAGUGGCGAAGGCGGCCUUCUGGACUGACACUGACACUGAGGUGCGAAAGCGUGGGUAGCAAACAGGAUUAGAUACCCGAGUAGUC
rnacentral:rRNA from 1 species